rnacentral:rRNA from 1 species
GAUGAACGCUAGCCACAGGCUUAACACAUGCAAGUCGAGGGGUAACGAGAGGGAAGCUUGCUUUCCUUGUCGACGACCGGCGCACGGGUGAGUAACGCGUAUCCAACCUGCCCCCAACUAGGGAAUAACCUUGCGAAAGUAAGACUAAUACCCUAUAAUUUCCUCAGAUGUCAUCUGACGAGGAAUAAAGAUUUAUCGGUUGUGGAUGGGGAUGCGUCUGAUUAGCUUGUUGGCGGGGUAACGGCCCACCAAGGCAACGAUCAGUAGGGGUUCUGAGAGGAAGGUCCCCCACAUUGGAGCUGAGACACGGUCCAAACUCCUACGAGAGGCAGCAGUGAGGAAUAUUGGGCAAUGGGCGGAAGCCUGAACCAGCCAAGUAGCGUGCAGGAUGACGGCCCUAUGGGUUGUAAACUGCUUUUAUACAGGAAUAAAGUUAGCCACGUGUGGUUAUUUGUAGGUACUGUAUGAAUAAGGACCGGCUAAUUCCGUGCCAGCCGCCGCAGUAA